GUGGAGCAAGUAGUGACUGUCCUGCGCUCGAGACAGCUGUGAAGCGGAUCCUGAUAGCUGCUGCCAGGGUUCCACGUCAACAUUGGAGCGUGCAGCAGCUGGAGCUCGGGUCCGCUAUCAUUUGCAACAGCAGCACCGACAGCAUGGAGCUUUCCCGAGGACUGGAGCCAACCCUCUACACUGUCAAAGCCAUUUUUAUUCUGGAUAAUGAUGGGAACCGUCUUUUGGCUAAGUACUACGAUGACACAUACCCCUCGACGAAGGAGCAGAAGAACUUUGAAAUGAACGUCUUCAAUAAAACUCACAAAACAGACUGUGAAAUUGCUUUUUUAGAAGGGAGGACAAUUGUAUACAAGAGCAGUGUCGACCUUUUCUUUUAUGUUGUGGGAAGCUCUGAUGAGAAUGAGCUGAUGCUGAUGGCUGUCUUGAACUGCUUGUUUGAAUCUUUCAAUUUGAUGUUGAGGAAAAACGUGGAGAAGCGUUACUUGCUGGAUAACUUAGAUGGAGCCUUUCUCCUGGUAGAUGAGAUUAUUGAUGGAGGAGUAAUUCUGGAGAGUGACGCACAGCAAGUUGUACAGAAGGUCAACUUUAGGACUGUCUCUGAGCCUGCAUAUGGUUUUGUACUUUUUGAUUACAUCACGGGUAGCUCUCAGCCUGCAGAUGUCCGACAGCAUCCAAAAUAAUGAACGUGUAACCAGGUUGAUGACAGCCCACUGUCUGAACAGAGCAUGGCACAGGUUUUGCAGUCCGCCAAAGAGCAGAUCAAAUGGUCAAUACUAAAAUGAGGAACUCCAGAUCUCCAGUUUUUACCAUGGAUUUUUCACCUUGCUUUUAAUAAUAAUAAUAAUAAUAAUUAUAGACUGUUUUGCAGUAAGAAGAGUGUGUAUAUACUUUUAACACAGCUGUAGCGUCCCUAUUUGAAUCACAUGGCUCAUUAAUAGAACAGUACUAAAUAAGAGUGGUCACUGAGCUUACAUAUCUGAAGUAUAGAGUCAAACCUACUGGAAGCAGUAGCUCACUGUACAAGUGUCCCUUGACAUUCCUGUUUUAUCCCCUUAAUGAUGACCAAUGAGGCCUAGAACUGUUAUGUUUAUGUAGGCCCUACAUCCAUGCCUUUCUGAUCCAGGAAGCUAGUAUUGGUUUAUAAGUCAAGGAGCAAAACAAAAAAAAUCCUCUCCUACAUGAGGUACAAAAAAAAAAAUCAUUUUCAACGUAAGGAAAAAAAAAACUCUUUCUCCUUUGAAAAAUGGUAUCAAGCCAACAGUGGCCUGCUACAGCUUAUACCACACUUAAAGCAGUGAAACCACCAGUGGCCUGCCACAGCUUAUACCACACUUGAAGCAGUGAAACCACCAGUGGCCUGCCACAGCUUAUACCACACUUGAAGCAGUGAAACCACCAGUGGCCUGCCACAGCUUAUACCACACUUGAAGCAGUGAAACCACUAGUGGCCUGCUGCAACUUAUACCAUACUUGAAGCAGUGAAACCACCAGUGGCCUGAAACAACUUAUAUCACACUUGAAGCAUUGAAGGGCUUCAGCCUUGGAAAUGCUGCAGCGACAUUUAUUUCUGAAUGUCAGUACUAGACUACCAAUAGUCAGCAUCUGGCGAUUAUAUCCUCUAAUACCUUGCACAUUUGCGUCACUGUUACUGCACCUCUGUUGACACUUGUAGCAAUGCUUAACCAUUAUGCUGUUACAUAGGUAAAGUUUACUCCACUCCAGCUGUCCCUUAGGAUUUAUCUGACUGCCCUACCUAUUGUGGUUUAAACUAAUGUAUUUAUAAGAGAAAGGGGUCCUCUGCAUGUUGUGAUGAGUUUGACAUUUUGCAGCAGUAACUGGAAGCUAUGAUGGUGGGCAGGGGGCAUUCGCAGAUGUGGUACUAAACUGUUUUGCAUCAUUGCAUGUCUUUUGCCAGGAAAAAUAGAUGCCAAUAGCUUAUUGGAGUGAUAGCUUCUGUUUUUGACUCUGCAGGAUUGACAGUUAAUUUGUUUUAAUUGUUAUCAUUUCUGUUAUUUAUAUUGGGCCCCAAUGUAAAUUGGCCCUGAGAGACAAAUCUCCUUGUUGAAAAAGGAUGCUAAAAGGCUCCCACCGGCGCUUAUUUCAUGAUGGGGAGGAUUGUGGUAAUGGAAAGGGGGUCACUGUGAUGGAGAAAGGUCAAGAAGGGUUAACUGAUGAUGUGGACCCAAUGCAAGAAACAAGUGUGCGUGUAAAUAUUGUUCCAUAACUUCCAGUCCACUCUUUCAGAAUGCACAUAGCCUCACAUAUCUGAUAUUUAUUUUUAUUUUCUUGAGAUGAAGUAAGAUCUGGAUGUUUUCAGUAGUUCCAUGGCAGUAUUUCAUCUUGUUUCAUGUGUUUAUUUACUGCUUUCUGUCUGUAUUUCAAAAAGGUUGCUGCAGCUUUAGAAGCUAUAUUGUUACUGAAAAAGUACACUUAUUUUUAAUAAACUUUUGUAACUUAAAGUUGA